UUAAACCAAUAACACAUGAUUUUAAUACAGAUUUGAAAAUCAUAGAACCAAUAACACUAGAUUUAGUUCGGAUUUCCAAAUCCAUUAAAAUACAACAACAAAUAACCCCUACUUAAUAAUUCAACAAUGCCGUAUAACUCUAUCCGAUAAAAAACAUACGAAUUACUUUAUAAAUAAUUAAACCAGAGAUAACCAAUAGCAUGUGUUGACUAAAAACAAAAAAACCAUUAACCGAUAACAACCAAAGCAAUAUAAACCGAGUAUUUAACCGGAUCAAAUAAUAAUCAAGCUUUUUGCAGAAAAAAACUAAAACCGUAAAGUUUGAAGCCGAUUGCUUAUUUAAUUAGAGAAUCAGAUUCGGUAAAUAAUUAAUUAAAAAACUGAAAUACGUGUUGAACCCGAGUGAAUUCGUACAACAAUUACCAACCAAAUCAUUUUCUAUAGAUUAACUAUUAUCUAAUGAAAACUUGUUUGAAAUAACAGCAGCAAACGUAAUAAAUCAAUACGGCAACAUAACAAAUGCAUGAGCAAAUUAAUUCAAAUCAGAAACACAAGUGGAAAACAAUAAAAGAAUCAGAUUCUACGGAAAAUCUUACGAUACUAAAAAUCAAAUAUGCUCAACAAAGAGAGGGUCCAUGUCAUCAAUUAAUUCAAGCCAAUAAAAACGUUUUAUUCUGCCACGUCAUAACAACCUCAAGUCGAUAAGUAUGAAAAUCUGAUAACACCUUUGGGCUAAUAAUAAUUUUCAGUGGCCCACUUGAACCUCAUCUCAGAAAAACCUAAACUCUGAUAACAGCAAUAAUUAUCCAUCAAUUUUUCUUCUUCGUCGUUUGGAAUCACUGCAAUUCACAUUCACCUUGAAGUAGGCCAGAUUCUUCCGGAUCCGUGACAAAGCGUCGGUGACGAGCUCUGCCCAUGGGCGGCGUUGUGAUAAGCCGUCGCGGAUCGAGGUGGAUAGGCGUGAGAAGAAGGUACGGAAGGCGGGAGUGUUGAUUGGUGGCUGAGAUUGAACAGCUUGCUGAUUGGUGACUGGGAGCGGCGGUGGAGUGGACAUGGCGGUGGCGCGUGAGGUUAGGUACGGCUGAUUUGGGCGAGAGGUUUGGAUCUUAAGAUUGGAUCAGAUCCGAGCUCCGUGUUAGAUAUUUUGGGGCCUAAUACAUAAGGUUGCACCGGCCAAUACCUUCAAGUCACGGUUUCGACAUUUCCUCUUGCCCUUUUUUUGGAGAUCCUUAUGACAAAAAUAACACUAAAUCAAGUUUAUGUUCCCAAACUAUCA